rnacentral:rRNA from 1 species
UAGCGUAAUCACUUGUUUAUUAAUUGUAGACCUGUAUGAAAGGCAAAAUGAGGGUCUAACUGUCUUUUAUGGCAAAUCAAUUAAACUGAUCUCCUAGUACAAAAGCUAGAAUACCAACAUAAGACCAGAAGACCCUGUGAAGCUUUAAAAAACCUAUUAAAUCAAAUAAUAACUACUUUCGGUUGGGGCGACCUUGGAACAAAAAAGAACUUCCAACACAUGACUCCCUCAUAAAAUAGGCAAACAAGCCAACACCUGAUCCAGUACAACUGAUAAAUGAAACAAGUUACUCCAGGGAUAACAGCGCUAUCUUCUUCAAGAGCCCAUAUCAAAAAGAAGGUUUACGACCUCGAUGUUGGAUCAGGACACCCCAGUAAUGUACCCGUUACUAAAGGUUCGUUUGUUCAACGAUUAAUAGUCCUACGUGAUCUG